rnacentral:tmRNA from 1 species
GGGGGCGACAUGGUUUCGACGUGGUCGGGGGACCGUUGGCUGCAUGCCGGGAUUCCACCCAUCCCGUAAAACGGUGGAAAACCAACAAGCGACGAAAACAACUUCGCGCUGGCGGCUUAAAUAGCCGCUCGUUCCCCGGGCUGGGUCGUCACCAGCUCGGCCCGACGGAGCGACGUAAUCUGGUGACUAGCCCGGCGCAGGCCUCUGGCAAAGGGCGAAAUUGAGGUGAGGCUGGCCCGACGGUUGGUGUGUUGGCCGACCAGCCGGCGGGCGAGAUCAACGGCCGACUAAGCAUGUAGACGCCGGCGGGGUACCGGUUACGGACGCGGGUUCGAUUCCCGCCGCCUCCACCA